rnacentral:rRNA from 1 species
AGUGAACGCUGGCGGUAGGCCUAACACAUGCAAGUCGAACGGCAGCACAGUAAGAGCUUGCUCUUACGGGUGGCGAGUGGCGGACGGGUGAGGAAUACAUCGGAAUCUACUUUUUCGUGGGGGAUAACGUAGGGAAACUUACGCUAAUACCGCAUACGACCUACGGGUGAAAGCAGGGGAUCUUCGGACCUUGCGCGAUUGAAUGAGCCGAUGUCGGAUUAGCUAGUUGGCGGGGUAAAGGCCCACCAAGGCGACGAUCCGUAGCUGGUCUGAGAGGAUGACCGCCACCCUUGAACUGAGACACGGUCCAGACUCCUACGGGAGGCAGCAGUGGGGAAUAUUGGACAAUGGGCGCAAGCCUGAUCCAGCCAUACCGCGUGGGUGAAGAAGGCCUUCGGGUUGUAAAGCCCUUUUGUUGGGAAAGAAAAGCAGCAGGUUAAUACCCCGCUGUUCUGACGGUACCCAAAGAAUAAGCACCGGCUAACUUCGUG